ensembl:lncRNA
GGGGUGGAUUAGCUUUUUGUCUGUUGAAACACUAAUGAUACUUACCAUGAAGCUUUUCUUUGUUCUGGUUUGAACAAACUAAAGCCUUGUAGUUGUUGGGAUAAAUAAGCCAAGCGUUUGAGUGAUUGUUGGGAGGGAAAUGUUGAGUAGAUUCUAAAUAUACCAAAUUCCUUUUUGAGACAGAUUAGGCCUUUGUGUUUUGACAUUUUUGCUCCAGUGCUGGCCAUUAACAGUGUUUUGGUAAGGGACAGGUGGAGAGGUUAGAGGAGAGACAACACAGGGGUGAAAUCCCUCCAGGGUGUGGAUGGAAAUGAGUGGACCCUGCCAUUGUUUCACUGUGUUGCUCUUAUUGUAUAAUUUCCCUUCUUCCUCAGAUCUUUCCUACAUGAGGUCAGAGCGAUAGCUACCGCGGAAACGUAUGGUGGACAGCACGUUCACUGUUCCAGACCCCCGGCUGCCCUUUUCAUCACGAGCAGAGAGCCGUCCUCCCACCUGAUCCACAGCUUUUGUCUAUAUUUCCUUUGAUUGAGAGACUUUGACAAAGACAUCAAUGGGACAGACACCAAGUGAAAGCAUAAGGGCACACUCAUCCACCUCCACUCCUGCAGUAUGCCAAUGACAUGGCCUUCACCACACACAUCUAAGCCUUUCGCUUUGUCACUAACAUUUUGUUUUUCCCACCCUCGUGUUUGGAGGACGAGGGAGAGACAUCAUCUGUGAUCAUAUCUGCUUGUUAGAGUCAGACUGAUUUUCUUGGGAGAGCUUUUGGACAAUUACUGGAUGGACAUAAAAGGAUCUGAAUGCUGACUAACCUAAGAAUGACCCAUUUUAGGGUAAUUUGCUUCUGGUGGUCAGAGGAUCAAAGAGAAGGGCCAUUGAGUUGUUUUAACGAGCCCCCACCCCAUCAACAUUUCCACAUAAACUCUGUUUAUUUGAAUUUACUGUCAAUCCCUGAUUACCUUCUUGGAUGUCCUUUUUUUGGGGUGUUGACUUAACUUACUAUGUUUGGCAGAAACUUACCGGAACUGGGUCAAAGAUGGGGGGUUUGGGGGAGAGGGAGGGUUGGUUUUAUUCCAGAUCACGCUCUCUUGAGUAGGGGGAUGACCUCAGUAAUCUGAUUAUUGUCUCUGUUAUCAUAAGGCAUUCCAACUACUUUUAAUAACUCUGACUGCGUGCCUGCAAUGGCUUUGCAGCUAAACAAACGUAUUAGGUGUGCCUGAACUCUAGUAAAGUCAGAGGCUAAAAGCACUGGGGUGCAUUGUUGGACAGUGACGCACCUUUAACCUGAAGCAAUAGGAUAGUCUAAUAUGUGACAAUUCAUUGUGAGGGCAAUGGUAUUGGUAAAUCAUCACUAAAGUGGUAUGACUCAUAUGUCAAUCAAGGCAACAACCUUAAUCAGAUAAUAUACUGUGUGUUGUUUGAUUCAUGAUUUUAUGUGAAUAAAAUGAGAAAUGGUCAUAAUAGCGCCCACAUAUUCUUUAGUGGAAAUGAAAUAGGUCUCUCUUUUUGACAGCACACUUGGAAUUGGACACAGUUUUGUAUUUAAUACCCGCUGAUAAAAGUGUGUGUUGAUUUGGAAUUAUAGACGCUUCCGGCCAAAUACCAGUUCAAGUUCUGAUCCAGCCCUGUUUUGUCUUGAACUUUACACAGCAUUUUGAACUGCAUGUGGCCUUUAUGAGAUUAGGUUAUGCACACAUGAUAAAGAUUACAAAUGUCAACAAAAAAAUGGCUGUGCUUGUUAAGGGGUGUGUGACUUGUGCUGUGUCUUUCAAAGUACUUAGAGUGCAGUGUUUUCCACAUGUAGUAUGUGGACAGUUGGAAUUCAUCAUUGUCACUACCAUUAUCAUUAUCACUGGGAAAUAAUUGGUGGUCUGACACUCAAAAAAACGAAAGUCCUCAGCUUUAUCAAUGAAUGAUAGG